AGGUCCCAAGGGUCCGGCUGUUCGCCGGUUAAAGCGGUACGCGAGCUGGGUUCAGAACGUCGUGAGACAGUUCGGUCCUUAUCCACUGUGGGCGAAGGAUACUUGAGGGGUUCUAACUCUAGUACGAGAGGACCGAGUUAGACGCACUUCUGGUGUGGCAGUUGUUCCAUCAGGGGCAUCGCUGCGUAGCCAUGUGCGGAAGAGAUAAGCGCUGAAAGCAUCUAAGUGCCAAGCUCCUCCCAAGAUAAGGUAUCCCGGACGAAAGUCCCUAAAGUUCCCCGGCAGACUACCGGGUUAAUAGGUCAGGCGUGGAAGUGUCGCAAGACAUUAAGCGGACUGAUACUAAUCGAACGUGCGGCUUGAUUG
rnacentral:rRNA from 1 species